rnacentral:rRNA from 1 species
UACGAAGGGGGCUAGCGUUGCUCGGAAUUAUUGGGCGUAAAGGGCGCGUAGGCGGCCUGGCAAGUGGAUGGUGAAAUCCCUCGGCUUAACCGAGGAGCUGCCAUCCAGACUGCUUGGCUUGAGACCGGGAGAGGUGAGUGGAAUUCCCAGUGUAGCGGUGAAAUGCGUAGAUAUUGGGAGGAACACCAGUGGCGAAGGCGGCUCACUGGACCGGUACUGACGCUGAGGCGCGAAAGCGUGGGGAGCAAACGGGG